rnacentral:rRNA from 1 species
GAUGAACGCUGACAGAAUGCUUAACACAUGCAAGUCAACUGUGGCGGACGGGUGAGUAACGCGUAAAGAACUUGCCUCACAGAUAGGGACAACAAUUGGAAACGAAUGCUAAUACCAGAUACUGUGAGAGAGCUUUGCGUCCCAUUAGCUAGUUGGAGAGGUAACGGCUCACCAAGGCGAUGAUGGGUAGCCGGCCUGAGAGGGUGAUCGGCCACAAGGGGACUGAGACACGGCCCUUACUCCUACGGGAGGCAGCAGUGGGGAUUAUUGGGCAAUGGACCAAAGUCUGAUCCAGCCAUUCUGUGUGCACGAUGAAGUUUUCGGAAUGUAAAGUGCUUUCAGUUGGGGAGCGGUACCAACAGAAGAAGUGACGGCUAAAUACGUGCCAGCAGCCGCGGUAAUAC